AGAGUUUGAUCCUGGCUCAGGAUGAACGCUGGCGGCGUGCCUAAUACAUGCAAGUCGAGCGAAUGGAUUAAGAGCUUGCUCUUAUGAAGUUAGCGGCGGACGGGUGAGUAACACGUGGGUAACCUGCCCAUAAGACUGGGAUAACUCCGGGAAACCGGGGCUAAUACCGGAUAAUAUUUUGAACCGCAUGGUUCGAAAUUGAAAGGCGGCUUCGGCUG
rnacentral:rRNA from 1 species